GCCAGGUGUGGUGGCACAUGCCUGUAAUCUCAGUGGCUUGGGAGGCUGAAACAGGAGGAUCGUGAGUUUAAAGCCAACCUCAGCAAGACUGAGGUACUAAGCAACUCAGUGAGACCCUGUCUCAA
rnacentral:sRNA from 1 species